rnacentral:piRNA from 1 species
UNGAUAUCAGUGUUUGCUUUCCUUAGUCU